AACGCACGAGACCUGCGGACCUGCGGAGGGAUCAUUAAAGAGAAAACUGCCCUUUGGGUAGAUCUCCCACCCUUUGUUUACCUUACCUUUGUUGCUUUGGCAGGCCCGUCUUCUGACCACCGGCUUUAGCUGGUCCGUGCCUGCCAGAGGACCCCAAACUCUUAAUUUUAAGUUGUCCGAGUCUUAUAAAAUAGUAAAAACUUUUAACAACGGAUCUCU
rnacentral:misc_RNA from 1 species